rnacentral:rRNA from 1 species
UACGGGGGGAGCAAGCGUUGUUCGGAUUUACUGGGCGUAAAGGGCGCGUAGGCGGUCGUGACAAGUCACUUGUGAAAUCUCCGGGCUUAACUCGGAACGGUCAAGUGAUACUGUCGGACUAGAGUACAGAAGGGGCAACUGGAAUUCUCGGUGUAGAGGUGAAAUUCGUAGAUAUUCGGAAGAACACCAGUGGCGAAGGCGGCUCACUGGACCGGCAUUGACGCUGAGGUGCGAAAGCGUGGGGAGCAAACAGG